CCUACGGGUGGCAGCAGUCGAGAAUCAUUCACAAUGGGGGAAACCCUGAUGGUGCGACGCCGCGUGGGGGAAUGAAGGUCUUCGGAUUGUAAACCCCUGUCAUGUGGGAGCAAAUUAAAAAGAUAGUACCACAAGAGGAAGAGACGGCUAACUCUGUGCCAGCAGCCGCGGUAAUACAGAGGUCUCAAGCGUUGUUCGGAAUCACUGGGCGUAAAGCGUGCGUAGGCUGUUUGGUAAGUCGUGUGUGAAAGGCGCGGGCUCAACCCGCGGACGGCACAUGAUACUGCGAGACUAGAGUGAUGGAGAGGGAUGCGGAAGUCUCGGUGUAGCAGUGAAAUGCGUAGAUAUCGAGAGGAACACUCGUGGCGAAGGCGGGUUCCUGGACAUUAACUGACGCUGAGGCACGAAGGCCAGGGGAGCGAAAGGGAUUAGAUACCCUUGUAGUC
rnacentral:rRNA from 1 species